rnacentral:rRNA from 1 species
ACCGGCACUCAGAUUGAACGCUGGCAGGAUACUUACGCCUUCAAGUCGAACGGCAACGGACUUCGGUCUGGUGGCGAGUGGCGAACGGUGGGUAAUGUAUCGGAACGUGCCUAAGUAGCAGGAUAACCGCGAAAGCGUAGCUAAUACCGCAUACGCCCUUCGGGGAAAGCAGGGGACCUUCGGGCCUCGCACUAUUGAAACGGCCGAUAUCGGAUUAGCUAGUUGGUGGGAGUAACGGCUCACCGGAAAGCGGCAAUCGAUCCACGCUCUCUGCGCUGGUUGAGAGGACGACCAUGCCCCUGAGGUUCAGAGACAGCCCCAGACUCUGGAAACAGCAGUAGAAUUUUGGACAAUAGAAACCUGAUCCAGCCGCAUCCCACGCAUUAUUGCGAUGAAGGCCUUCAGUUAUAAAAACGCCACUUUUUGGCAGGAAAGAAACGGCACGGGAUAUGCCCGAUACAGCUGACUAACGGUAUGCAGAAUAAAGCACAAGCAAGCUUUUCACGGUACCCAUAGCGCCGCCAGCCACUUUGAUAUACGUGAGGUCUGGCGUUAAUCAAAUUGCUGGGCGUAUUAAAGCGUGCGCAGGCGGUUCGGAAGAAGAAGGUAAGCGAAAUCCCAAACCUUUGGAACUGCAUUUUUAACUACCGAGCUAAGAGGAUGUAUCAGAGAGGUGGAAUUCACGUGUAGCAGUGAAAUGCGUAGAUAUGCGGAGGAACACCGAUGGCGAAGGCAGCCUCCUGGGAUAACUGACGCUCAUGCACGAAAGCGUGGGGGCAAACGGGAUAGAUACCUGGUAGUCCGCCUAAACAAUCAACUAGCUGUUGGGGCCUUUGGGCCUUGGUAUUUGCGGCUUCAACGUGAAGUUGACCGCCUGGGAAAUACGGUCGCAAGAUUAAACUCAAAGGAAUUGACGGGGACCCGCACAAGCGGUGGAUGAUGUGGAUUAAUUCGAUGCAACGCGAAAAACCUUACCUACCCUUGACAUGUCUGGAAUCCCGAAGAGAUUUGGGAGUGCUCGCAAAGAGAACCCGGAACACAGGUGCUGCAUGGCUGUCGUCAGCUCGUGUCGUGAGAUGUUGGGUUAAGUCCCGCAACGAGCGCAGCCCUUGUCAUUAGUUGCUACGAAGGGCACUCUAAUGAGACUGCCGGUGACAAACCGGAGGAAGGUGGGGAUGACGUCAAGUCCUCAUGGCCCAUAUGGGUAGGGCUUCACACGUCAUACAAUGGUCAGGACAGAGGGUCGCCAACCCGCGAGGGGCCAAUCCAGAAACCCGAUCGUAGUCCGGAUCGCAGUCUGCAACUCGACCGUGAAGUCCGGAAUCGCUGGUAAUCGCCGGAUCGGCAGCAUGUCGCGGUGAAUACGUUCCCGGGUCUUGUACACACCGCCCGUCACACCAUGGGAACAGGUUUUGCAAGUAGUUAGCUAACCGUAAGGAGGGCGAUUACCACGGUAGGAUUCAUGAUUGGGGUGAAGUCGUAACAAGGUAA